rnacentral:rRNA from 1 species
GAGUUUGAUCGUGGCUCAGGAUAAACGCUGGCGGCGCACAUAAGACAUGCAAGUCGAACGGACUUAAUCGAUUCUUUUAGAUUCGAAGCGGUUAGUGGCGGACUGGUGAGUAACACGUAAGCAACCUGCCUGUUAGAGGGGAAUAACAGUGAGAAAUCACUGCUAAAACCGCAUAUGCCGUGAACAUCGCAUGAUGAAAACGGGAAAGAGCAAUCUGCUAAUAGAUGGGCUUGCGUCUGAUUAGCUAGUUGGUGUGGUAAAGGCAUACCAAGGCAACGAUCAGUAGCCGGACUGAGAGGUUGAACGGCCACAUUGGGACUGAGAUACGGCCCAGACUCCUACGGGAGGCAGCAGUCGGGAAUAUUGCGCAAUGGAGGAAACUCUGACGCAGUGACGCCGCGUA